rnacentral:sRNA from 1 species
UUUUAGAAUUCAAGGAUACACGUACGCACAACGCGCGUAGCCGGUCGUCGUUCUUAAAACCGAAUUCUAGACUCUGUGUGGAUAAAUUGAAUUCUGUUCAGCUCAGCCAUUUAAAUUUAUUGCCAGUGAAAGUCGGUUCGUUCGCAUGCUAUGGAUUUAAUGUCGAUGGCGUUGGUGUUGUUGCCGACCAAACAACCAGCCAACAGCUCUCCUUGUGUUGUAGUAACAUACUUGUGUCAAGUUUGUCGUGAAUGAAAACAAAAAGGAAACAUUAAAACGUAACGCUCAUCUUAAUUUGAAAUAGAAAUUCAAGGAUAACAUCGAGUGGAUCAUUAUCUGGUCUAGUUUAUGUUUGUAAACAAAAAAUUGAAGAAAAUUUAUUUAAAAAACAAUGUCAAGAAACCCGCACAACAUAAAGUAAAACGAAGUGACACUUUAAACAAUCCCCCUAUCGAGUUGAUAGCGGAAGUAUUUUGAAAAGAAAAUCUCAAACGAAAUAAAGAAUAAAACACAAAAGAAUGCAAUGACAUGAAAAUAUUUAACCUUUUGAAUAAAUAUGGACAAGCUAUGGUCCUUUUAAAUAAACAACCGGAUAUAUCCAGCUGGCGCCCAAAUGAAAACCAUCUUCUGUCUAUAUCUGAAUAAUGCAAAAAGCAUAAAGUAAAGAAAUAAACAAGUCCACAACCAAAAAAAACACAAGAAAAACUAACAAAAAAUAAACAAAUAAAACAACAACAAGAAGACCAACUGCAAUGCUUUACGCUUUGGGGGCAAAUGCGGACAUUGUGUUUCAUUGAAUUCCUAAACCGAGUGUUUUAAAACGAAAUUCAAACAAACCAACAGACCAGACCAGCAAACAGUACUGCCGUCCAGCAUCAUCAACAUCAUCAGUGUCAGCGUCAUCAGUCAAAGAUCUACAGCCAUCUCUUUAUGAAUAGCAAAUGGAUUUGGGUACUGCACAAAGGCAAUGCCAAUAAAUAGUCGAUUGACACAGGCGGAUAAACCAAAAGGCUAUGCAAUUUGAAAGCCUAUUCUUGCCGUAGCAGCUCCAUACAAUUAUUUUCAAUUCAAGUCGAAGCAUUUGCCCAAACACGCACACAUACCCAAGUGGUGGUGGUAGUGGUGGAGCGUGUAACGAGUUCAUGGCUAAAACCGCAACGCACAUCCAGUGGAAGUGGAAAAGAAAAGUUUGCCUUUCUCUGUUGGCCAACUUGAGAUUCACAUGAAAUUUCAUUUAAAGAAAACACACAACAACAAAAACAAGAACAA